GGUGUUGUCGAUCGCCGACGUACGUGUGGCACGCCGACUCCGCUCUUCGUGGGCGGCAAUGGCAAGACGUUUGUAUGAGAAGCCGGAGCGGUCAAGGAUACACAGUUGGCCGACAAGCGCUCUGCGGUUACUGCAACAUCCUUAAGGUGUGUCAUGGCUGUUGAGAUGGAUUGUGGCGCGUCCAUGGAGAUGAAGUUCCAGCGCAGAUCCAUACCCACUGCUCCCUUCCCUCGGACAUUUAAGUUUCGAGUGAUCUGGCACUCCUCUCGACCCAGCAGAAGCAGAAGGAACAUUAUCCAGAAAAGGAUGGUGAUGAAUAAAUGAUUUGUGAAGGCUGCUCGUUCGCCGAUGGUGAGAGAGGAUUUAUAGCAAACCUCAUCUCCUAUACGUUGGUGAGAUAAACAUGACUUGGUUCUUUUCUUGCAGUGAGAUAUCGACACAUAUUCUGAUAUAAAAAAGAGAUUAAGAUGGGUCGUAGAAUAUUCAAGUAUUUCUCUGUCUUUUUCUUUC